UGGGCCUUGAGACCCUUGGCCAGCAUCCAAGCUGCGUCCACGUCCAUAUCUGCAAUGAAAGAAGUUUGGCACAGCUUAGGAAAAGAACAAGAAGAAAGGGGAGAAGCGGAAGUCAAAGCCCAGUGCGGAAAGCUUCUUGGUAUAAACAGAAGCAGCCGGGGGGAGGGACGCUAGCCCGACCAGUUGGCCCGAGAAGCUCAGCUCGUACUCCGAAGGAACUCCGUACUGAAUCCUAAUCAGUGAGAGUUCGUCUGGAGUCAGAGAGCUGGAAAUGAUGUCUGGUAC
rnacentral:lncRNA from 1 species